UAUAAGCUCGAUAGUUCCGACUCGGUAGAUCUGGAGCGCAUGUGGCCCCUAGAGUCCCCAAAUGAGGUUUCCUUUUUGCACAUUAAGCUAACAGCAUCAUCGCCAAAGGAGCCACAAGAGGUUCCCUCUGUGGCCUCUGAAGCGACAGGCAUUUGCCCUCCUGACCUCAGCUCAUCUGGGGAAAAGGAAAGACAAAUGCUACAAGAUGUAACAUGAUUUUAAUCAUAUUUUUGUAGUCUUUUUAUUGUCUUCUGUUUUAAAUGCCUCAUACCUUUUUAACCCUACUGCUCAUGGCCCUCACCAUCUCUACUAUCAAUGUCAGAAGUGUGAGGUCCACCAUUAGAGCACAGAGUAUUUUGUCCUUUUUAAAAUCUUUUAAGUCAGAUUUGUUUUUAUUACAAGAGUGUUCUCUGCCCUUUUUAACUAGGUACACAAAAAUGGAAGAGCUAUGGUCCGCAGGAGCCUCCAUAUGGAGCGGAUCAAAUUUUAACAAAAACGACGGAGUUGCGGUUUUAAUUAAUAAUCCUAACAUCUUGGUGAAGGGCAGCACUGUGCCCCCCUCGGUGGUUCCUGGGGAAACUGGAGAGGGCGGUGUUUUACUUCCUGUGGGGGUCCAAGUGGGAGCGCCUGAAGAGGGAGACCAUCAAGAAAAGGCCGGAGAACGGAGGAAAAGGCCUCCCAGACCCCCACCUGUUUUUAGGCAGCCGCUUCACCGCCCUGCACAUUAGUUAUGCCACGACCCCAUCCAAAGAAAACAAGACGGCUGCAAUGGCGCGAUUUUGGAUGGGGUCUUACCUACGAACACUGAAAAUUUUACCAGUGGACUUGAAAACCCCAGUGUCUUUUAACUUGCCCAAAGAGUACAGUUUUAUAAAAAAGUUUUUAAAGAAAUACCUUUUAGAGAGUGAAGAUGUCACCAUUUUAACUCAACACAAGUCUCUCAUCUCUGUU